rnacentral:tRNA from 1 species
CUGACCUUAGUUUAAGUUAGAAUAGAGGUUUUGGGGAUCUUUGGUCUUUUAAUUAAGAGGUUUGG